rnacentral:rRNA from 1 species
GACGAACCGUGCAAACGUUAUUCGGAAUCACUGGGCUUAAAGGGCGCGUAGGCGGACCAUCAAGUCAGGGGUGAAAUCCCACGGCUCAACCGUGGAAGUGCCUUUGAUACUGGUGGUCUCGAGGGAGGUAGGGGCGUGCGGAACUUCCGGUGGAGCGGUGAAAUGCGUAGAUAUCGGAAGGAACAUCAGUGGCGAAAGCGGCUUCCUGGACCAGUACCGACGUUCAGGCACGAAAGCGUGGGGAGCAAACAGG